UGUAACCCUAUGGGACCAUGUAACCCUAUGGGACCAUGUAACCCUAUGGGACCCUAUAACUCUAUGGGGCCAUGUAACCCUAUGGGACCAUGUAACCCUAUGGGACCAUGUAACCCUAUGGGACCCUGUAACCCUAUGGGACCCUAUAACCCUAUGGGACCAUGUAACCCUAUGGGACCCUAUGGCACUAUGGGACCUCCCCAUAGCCUCCCCAUGUCCCCCCCAUACCCACCCCCCAUCCGCCCCAUAUCCCCUGUCCCACAGGCCGGUUCUGUGGGAACAAGGUCCCGGAUCCCAUCGCGUCCUCUGACAGCAGGCUGUGGAUUGAGUUCCGUAGCAGCAGCAACUGGGUCGGGAAGGGGUUCUUUGCUGUCUAUGAAGCCAUCUGCGGUGGGGAGGUGCACAAGGACAGCGGGCACAUCCAGUCCCCCAACUACCCCGACGAUUACCGGCCCAACAAGGUCUGUGUGUGGAGGAUCGAGGUGGCCGAGGGAUUCCACGUGGGGCUCAGCUUCCAGGCAUUCGAGGUGUGGAUGUGGGGCAGCUAUGGGGCAGCUAUGGGGCGGCUAUGGGGCGGCUAUGGGGCUGUAGGAUGGCUAUAAGUGCAGGCAGGAACAGCGCCCCCUAUGAGGGCAAAUAGGAACAGCGCCCCCUAUGGGAGGCAAUAAGCACAGCGCCCCCUAUGGG
rnacentral:lncRNA from 1 species